GGACGAACGCUGGCGGCGUGCUUAACACAUGCAAGUCGAACGGAAAGGCCCUGCUUUUGUGGGGUGCUCGAGUGGCGAACGGGUGAGUAACACGUGAGUAGCCUGCCCUUGACUUUGGGAUAACUUCAGGAAACUGGGGCUAAUACCGGAUAGGAGCUCCUGCUGCAUGGUGGGGGUUGGAAAGUUUCGGCGGUUGGGGAUGGACUCGCGGCUUAUCAGCUUGUUGGUGGGGUAGUGGCUUACCAAGGCUUUGACGGGUAGCCGGCCUGAGAGGGUGACCGGCCACAUUGGGACUGAGAUACGGCCCAGACUCCUACGGGAGGCAGCAGUGGGGAAUAUUGCACAAUGGGCGGAAGCCUGAUGCAGCAACGCCGCGUGCGGGAUGACGGCCUUCGGGUUGUAAACCGCUUUCGCCUGUGACGAAGCGUGAGUGACGGUAAUGGGUAAAGAAGCACCGGCUAACUACGUG
rnacentral:rRNA from 1 species